rnacentral:lncRNA from 1 species
ACACUCGCACGAUGUUGCAAAUGCAUCAAAACGAAGACAUGUAACAGCUUUUUAAAAAUGAAUUCUGGGAGUUCAAUGGUCACAAGUACAAACUGCACUGAGAAAUGGGAAUGGACAUGUGAGUGUGUUGAUGACAGUAUAGGUCACAGGUCCAGUGGUUAAAGCAUCCGCCUCGUGAUCGGGAGGUCAAAGGUUCGAGCCCCAUGGAGAGCGUUUGUCUGGGGAAUGUUUGUCAUGGGACUCAUUCUGAAAAGGCCUGUUCGUGAACAGCAAGCUAGAUAAAUGAAUGGUUACCGACUUCUAUCCGCCUAGCACCUGGCUUAGUAGUAGGAGUUGGGAGGUAAUUGAUGCCCACCACUUAGCAUCAAACUGUCGGCUGGUAAGAGAUGCUGCCAAACCCUGCUUUAAAAUCCCGACCUGUAGCCCCACACCAUCUCCGCUAACAACAAAGGGACCAGGACUUCUGCCCAUGACUACAGUACCAACACAGAGACCACAAAGUAAUGCAUCGGCAAAAAUUCCUAUGAUAUUGUAAUUAAAAUCAUUCCAGAACUACUUUCUUAUAAACAUUAAUUGUAAUUACAAACUUGGUAAAACUUUUUGAAUUGGCAAUAAGAUAAUAUUUUUAUAAAAGUCAUGUUUACUUACAAAACAGUAUCUUCAGUUGUUUCAGAAGUGUGUUUACAUGCGUAAUGGCAAGUUUGUGUUUCUCAUUUAGUCAAUUGAACAUAUAGUCAAGAUUGACAUUAUAUGAUGUAAUAAGAAUUAUCGGCCUUUUUCAUCCCCUGCCAUGAGUGUUGCGGGGGUUAUAGGAAUGGUCUCCAUCUGUCCUUCUGUCCAUCCGUUCGUCUGUAACACUUCU